rnacentral:sRNA from 1 species
ACUCAACACUAAUCUGUUAUGAAGGAUGAGUCGUAGUUGUUAAAGCAAGCCAUUUUAGAUGGAUCCUUGAUCAGCUAGUUAGUCCUAUAAAUGUCAUAAUGGAGUUU